UACAGAGGUCUCAAGCGUUGUUCGGAUUCAUUGGGCGUAAAGGGUGCGCAGGCUGCGUGGUAAGUCGAGUGUGAAAUUUAGGGGCUCAACCCCUAAACUGCAUCCGAUACUGCCAUGCUAGAGGACUGUAGAGGAGAUUGGAAUUCACGGUGUAGCAGUGAAAUGCGUAGAUAUCGUGAGGAAGACCAGUGGCGAAGGCGAAUCUCUGGGCAGGUCCUGACGCUCAUGCACGAAGGCUAGGGGAGCAAACGGG
rnacentral:rRNA from 1 species